GCUGGGACAGCUCAGUCGGUAGAGCAUGAGAUUCUUAAUAUCAGGAUCGUGGGUCUGAGUCUCACACUGGGCA